rnacentral:rRNA from 1 species
CCUACGGGUGGCUGCAGUGGGGAAUAUUGGGCAAUGGAGGCAACUCUGACCCAGCAACGCCGCGUGAAUGAUGAAGGUCUUCGGAUUGUAAAGUUCUUUUCUAAGGGAAGAAGAAAGUGACGGUACCUUAGGAAUAAGCCUCGGCUAACUACGUGCCAGCAGCCGCGGUAAUACGUAGGAGGCAAGCGUUAUCCGGAAUGACUGGGCGUAAAGGGUGCGUAGGCGGCGGCACAAGUCAGCGGUAAAAUCGCGGGGCUCAACCCCGCUCCGCCGUUGAAACUGUGUCCCUUGAGUGCGCGAAGGGGAGGCGGAAUGCGUGGUGUAGCGGUGAAAUGCAUAGAUAUCACGCAGAACUCCGAUCGCGAAGGCAGCCUACCGGCGCGCAACUGACGCUCAUGCACGAAAGCGUGGGUAUCGAACAGGAUUAGAUACCCUUGUAGUC